UACAGAGGUCUCAAGCGUUUGUUCGGAUUCAUUGGGCGUAAAGGGUGCGUAGGCGGCGAGGUAAGUCGGAUGUGAAAUCCCGGGGCUCAACCCCGGAACUGCAUUCGAUACUGCUUUGCUUGAGUACUGGAGAGGAGACUGGAAUUUACGGUGUAGCAGUGAAAUGCGUAGAUAUCGUAAGGAAGACCAGUGGCGAAGGCGAGUCUCUGGACAGUUACUGACGCUGAGGCACGAAGGCCAGGGGAGCAAACGGG
rnacentral:rRNA from 1 species